GACGAACGCUGGCGGCGUGCUUAACACAUGCAAGUCGAACGGAAAGGCCCUGCUUUUGUGGGGUGCUCGAGUGGCGAACGGGUGAGUAACACGUGAGUAACCUGCCCUUGACUUGGGGAUAACUUCAGGAAACUGGGGCUAAUACCGGAUAGGAGCUCCUGCUGCAUGGUGGGGGUUGGAAAGGUUCGGCGGUUGGGGGUGGACUCGCGGCUUAUCAGCUUGUUGGUGGGGUAGUGGCUUACCAAGGCUUUGACGGGUAGCCGGCCUGAGAGGGUGACCGGCCACCUUGGGACUGCGAUACGGCCCAGACUCCUACGGGAGGCAGCAGUGGGGUAUAUUGCACAAUGGGCGGAAGCCUGAUGCAGCAACGCCGCGUGCGGGAUGACGGCCUUCGGGUUGUAAACCGCUUUCGCCUGUGACGAAGCGUGAGUGACGGUAAUGGGUAAAGAAGCACCGGCUAACUACGUG
rnacentral:rRNA from 1 species